UGGGGAAUCUUCCGCAAUGGGCGAAAGCCUGACGGAGCAACGCCGCGUGAGUGAAGACGGCCUUCGGGUUGUAAAGCUCUGUUAUAUGGGACGAACGGGCGUAUGGUCAAUACCCAUACGCCGUGACGGUACCGUAAGAGAAAGCCACGGCUAACUACGUGCCAGCAGCCGCGGUAAUACGUAGGUGGCAAGCGUUGUCCGGAAUCAUUGGGCGUAAAGGGCGCGCAGGCGGUUCGGUAAGUCGGUCUUAAAAGUGCGGGGCUUAACCCCGUGAUGGGA
rnacentral:rRNA from 1 species